rnacentral:rRNA from 1 species
AUUGAACGCUGGCGGCAUGCUUUACACAUGCAAGUCGAACGGUAACAGGGUGCUUGCACCGCUGACGAGUGGCGAACGGGUGAGUAAUGCGUCGGAACGUGCCGAGUAGUGGGGGAUAACGCAGCGAAAGUUGUGCUAAUACCGCAUACGUACUGAGGUAGAAAGUGGGGGACCUUCGGGCCUCACGCUAUUCGAGCGGCCGACGUCUGAUUAGCUAGUAGGUGAGGUAAAGGCUCACCUGGGCGACGAUCAGUAGCGGGUCUGAGAGGAUGAUCCGCCACACUGGGACUGAGACACGGCCCAGAGUCCUACGGGAGGCAGCAGUGGGGAAUUUUGGACAAUGGGCGAAAGCCUGAUCCAGCCAUGCCGCGUGUCUGAAGAAGGCCUUCGGGUUGUAAAGGACUUUUGUCGGGGAGGAAAUCCCCAGCGUUAAUACCGCUGGGGGAUGACAGUACCUGGAGAAUAAGCACCGGCUAACUACGUGCCAGCAGCCGCCGUAAGAC